UACAGAGGUCCCAAGCGUUGUUCGGAUUCACUGGGCGUAAAGGGUGCGUAGGUGGCCAGGUAAGUUUGGUGUGAAAGCUCGGAGCUUAACUCCGAAAUGUCAUUGAAUACUAUCUGGCUGGAGGGUCGGAGGGGAGACUGGAAUUCUCGGUGUAGCAGUGAAAUGCGUAGAUAUCGAGAGGAACACCAGUGGCGAAGGCGAGUCUCUGGACGACACCUGACACUGAGGCACGAAAGCUAGGGGAGCAAACAGG
rnacentral:rRNA from 1 species